AUUUUGUACAUUAAACCAUUUCAUUUUUUGCAGUUUUAUGAUAAUAACAGAGUGUUUUCAGAGGAUAGAUGUUUGUUCACAGUGCAGGAGGUUUUUGUACGGCCGCUUAAUGAGUUUGUAUCACUGUGGUGGACUUUUGGUGGAGGAACCAAACUCAUCGUUGACUUGGGUGUGGUGCGGCCCACCCUGAGCGUCCUCCCCCCCUCCAGAGAGCAGCUGCAGCAGGGCAGUGCCACACUGGUGUGUCUGGCCAGCGGGGGCUUCCCCUCAGCCUGGAGGCUGGGCUGGAAGGUGGGGGGCAGCAGCCUCUCCUCAGGGGAGUCACACAGCCUGGAGGCCCUGGGGAGGGACGGCCACUACAGCUGGAGCAGCACCCUGAUCCUCCCUGCAGACCAGUGGAGGAAGGCGGGCUCAGUGAGCUGUGAGGCCAGUCUGAAUGGACAGAGCCCUGUCACUCAAAGCCUGGACCCUGAGCGCUGCUCAGAGUAGAGCUUCAGCAACACUUCCUGUCUGGAAAUGAUGCUGCUUCUUUCAUAGAGAUCUUCAUCAAGCUACAGAUCUCCUCUCUUCACAUAUUUCUGCACGUUUCACAGCUCUCUGCUCAGUGUUUUAGUGUGCAUGUUGCUUUCUCAUACUGAUCUUCUGCAUGUUCUUCUUUAUCAUCAUUAAAAUCAACUUUAUUAGUUUUAGUCCAAGAGAAACGAUUCAUUCAUCAGAAAUGUGGCAUGAACAUUAAACUAUCACUGAAUAAAACUGU